rnacentral:rRNA from 1 species
GGAUUAACGCUGGCAGUGUGUAUAAUACAUGCAAGUCGACUGCAUUUAGGUGCAGGGCAGACGGGUGAGUAACACGUUGGUUAUCUGCCCCGAACUCAGGGAUAACAUCGAGAAAUCGGUGAUAAUACCGGAUGGUCCCGCAAGGGUAAAGAUUUAUCGGUUCGGGAGGAGCCUGCGCAGUAUCAGCUUGUUGGUGAGGUAAUGGCUCACCAAGGCUAUGACGCUUAGCUGGUCUGAGAGGAUGAUCAGUCACAAUGGAACUGAGACACGGUCCAUACUCCUACGGGAGGCAGCAGUAAAGAAUCUUCCGCAAUGGACGAAAGUCUGACGGAGCAACACUGCGUGGUGGAUGACGGCCCUCGGGUUGUAAACACCUUUUCUGGGGGAAGAAGUUCUGACGGUACCCCAGGAAUAAGCGACGGCUAAUUACGUGCCAGCAGCCGCGGUAAUACGUAAGUCGCAAGCGUUAUCCGGAAUUAUUGGGCGUAAAGCGUCCGUAGGCGGUUUUUCAAGUCUGUGGUUAAAUCCCAGGGCUCAACCCUGGAAUCGUCAUGGAAACUGUGAAACUUGAGGUAUGCAGGGGUAGAUGGAAUUCCAGAAGUAGGGGUAAAAUCCGUAGAUCUCUGGAGGGACACCAAACGCGAAGGCAUUCUACUGGGCAUUACCUGACGCUGAGGGACGAAAGUGUGGGGAGCAAACGGGAUUAGAUACCCCGGUAGUCCACACCGUAAACGAUGGAUACUCGGUAUUGGAGGCUUCGACCCCUUCGGUGCCUAAGCUAACGCAUUAAGUAUCCCGCCUGGGUAGUACGGUCGCAAGAUUAAAACUCAAAGGAAUAGACGGGGACCUACACAAGCGGUGGAGCAUGUGGUUUAAUUCGAUAAUAAGCGGGAAACCUUACCAGGGCUUGACAUCUUGAGAAUUCUCUAGAAACAGAGAAGUGCCUUCUGGAACUCAAUGACAGGUGUUGCAUGGUUGUCGUCAGCUCGUGCCUUGAGGUGUACUGUUAAGUCAGGAAACGAGCGCAACCCUCAUUGUAUGUUGUAUUUUUCAUGCAAGACUGCCGACUCCAAGUCGGAGGAAGGUGAGGAUAACGUCAAAUCAGCAUGGCCCUUAUGCCCUGGGCUACACACGUGCUACAAUGGUCGGUACAAUGGGUCGCCAAAUCGUAAGAUGGAGCCAAUCCUAUCAAAGCCGGCCUCAGUUCGGAUUGAGGGCUGCAACUCGCCCUCAUGAAGUUGGAAUCGCUAGUAAUCGUGAAUCAGAAUGUCACGGUGAAUAUGUUCCUAGGUCUUGUACUCACCGCCCGUC